CCUACGGGUGGCAGCAGUAGGGAAUAUUCCACAAUGAGCGCAAGCUUGAUGGAGCGACACCGCGUGCACGAUGAAGGUCCUCGGAUUGUAAAGUGCUGUUAUAAGGGAAGAACAUUUGCAAUAGGAAAUGUUUGCAGACUGACGGUACCUUGUCAGAAAGCGAUGGCUAACUAUGUGCCAGCAGCCGCGGUAAUACAUAGGUUGCAAGCGUUAUCCGGAAUUAUUGGGCGUAAAGCGUUCGUAGGCUGUUUGUUAAGUCUGGAGUAAAAUCCCGGGGCUCAACCCCGGCGCGCUUAGGAUACUGGCAGACUAGAGUUAGAUAGAGGUAAGCGGAAUUCCAUGUGAAGCGGUGAAAUGCGUAGAUAUGUGGAAGAACACCGAAGGCGAAGGCAGCUUACUGGGUCGAUACUGACGCUGAGGGACGAAAGCGUGGGGAGCAAACAGGAUUAGAUACCCGUGUAGUC
rnacentral:rRNA from 1 species